rnacentral:ribozyme from 1 species
UUUUUUUUUUUUUUUUUUUUUUUUUUUUUUUUUUUUUUUUUUUAGACGGGCACUGUUGAA